rnacentral:rRNA from 1 species
AAGUCGAGGGGCAGCAUAAAUUACUUGUAAUUUGAUGGCGACCGGCGAACGGGUGCGUAACGCGUAUGCAACCUACCUUUUACUAGAGAAUAGCCAAGAGAAAUUUUGAUUAAUGCUCUAUACACUUUAAGACUCACAUGAGUCUAAAAGAAAAGCUCCGGCGGUAAAAGAUGGGCAUGCGUUCUAUUAGCUUGUAGGUGAGGUAACGGCUCACCUAAGCUUCGAUAGAUAGGGGUCCUGAGAGGGAGACCCCCCACACUGGUACUGAGACACGGACCAGACUUCUACGGAAGGCAGCAGUAAGGAAUAUUGGACAAUGGAGGCAACUCUGAUCCAGCCAUGCCGCGUGAAGGAAGAAGGCCCUAUGGGUCGUAAACUUCUUUUAUACAGGAAGAAAUCUUUCCACGUGUGGAAAGUUGACGGUACUGUAAGAAUAAGGAUCGGCUAACUCCGUGCCAGCAGCCGCGGUAAUACGGAGGAUCCAAGCGUUAUCCGGAAUUAUUGGGUUUAAAGGGUCCGCAGGCUGUUUGUUAAGUUAGAGGUGAAAUCCUACCGCUCAACGGUAGAACUGCCUUUAAUACUGGCAAACUUGAGUUAUUGUGAAGUAAUUAGAAUGUGUAGUGUAGCGGUGAAAUGCAUAGAUAUUACACAGAAUACCGAUUGCGAAAGCAGAUUACUAACAAUUAACUGACGCUGAGGGACGAAAGCGUGGGUAGCGAACAGGAUUAGAUACCCUGGUAGUCCACGCCGUAAACGAUGGUCACUAGCUGUUUGAUGUACAUUGGUACAUUGAGUGGCUAAGCGAAAGUGAUAAGUGACCCACCUGGGG